UCAGACACGUCAGAGUUUGAUCCUGGCUCAGGAUGAACGCUGGCGGCGUGCCUAACACAUGCAAGUCGAGCGCGGUCCCUUUGGUGCUUGCACCAAAGACGACUGAGCGGCGGACGGGUGAGUAACGCGUGAGAAACCUGCCUUUUACAAAGGGAUAGCCUCGGGAAACUGGGAUUAAUACCUUAUGACACUUAAAUGUCGCAUGAGAUUUAAGUCAAAGCGUAAAGCGGUAAAAGAUGGUCUCGCGUCCCAUUAGUUAGUUGGUGAGGUAAAGGCUCACCAAGACAGCGAUGGGUAGCCGGCCUGAGAGGGUGAACGGCCACACUGGAACUGAGACACGGUCCAG
rnacentral:rRNA from 1 species